UACGAAGGGGGCUAGCGUUGCUCGGAUUGACUGGGCGUAAAGGGCGCGUAGGCGGCCACCGCAAGUCGGUUGUGAAAUCUCCGGGCUUAACCCGGAAAGGUCAAUCGAUACUGCGGGGCUAGAGUGCAGAAGGGGCAACUGGAAUUCUCGGUGUAGCGGUGAAAUGCGUAGAUAUCGAGAGGAACACCUGCGGCGAAGGCGGGUUGCUGGGCUGACACUGACGCUGAAGCGCGAAAGCUAGGGGAGCGAACGGG
rnacentral:rRNA from 1 species